AGCUACUUGCAUCAUUGUAAAUAUGAUGCAAGAUCGACUAUGUCGAAUAAAAUUCUAGGUAGAAUUAUGAUAAUGACAUUGUCUGCCUAUGUGUCUUGACCAAAUUACGUGCCAGCAGUCGCGGUAAUACGUAGAAGACUAGUGUUAUUCAUGUUUAAUCGGUUUAAAGGGUACCUAGACGGUAAAUCAAGCCUAAAAGGAAAUAAAUGAAGGGACUAAUUUACUAGAGUUACUUAUGAGGGGGUAUUAAAGUACUGCUGGUGUAGAGAUGAAAUUCUGUCAUACCUCUUUUCAAUAGAAAAAUAAUGGCACAGGUAUAGGCGAAAGCAUCCCCUUAUGUGAUAACUGACGUUGAGGGACGAAGGCUUUGUGUAGCGAACAGGAUUAGAUACCCCAGUAGUCAAAGCAGAAAAUGAUGAAUGUCAUAGAUUAGAUAUAUAAGUUUAUUCUAUAAAUGAAAGUGUAAGCAUUCCACCUCAAGAGUAAUUUGGCAACAUUGGAACUGAAAUCAUUAGACCGUUUCUGAAACCAGUAGUGAAGUAUGUUGUUUAAUUUGAUGAUCCGCAAAAAACCUUACCACAAUUUGAAUAUUUAUAUCUUUUAUUGUUUUUUUUUACUUUAUUCUAAUUUUCUACUUAAAAGAAAACAAGAAAAAAGAGGCAAGAAGAUAUAUUUACAAGCGUUGCACGGCUGUCUUCAGUUAAUGUCGCGAGACUAUGGUUAGUUCCAUUAAAUUAACGUAANCCCUUACUUUAUUUUUAUAUAGAGUAGUUCCCCGCUAUAUUGGAUAUGAU
rnacentral:rRNA from 1 species